UCUCCGUUGGUGAACCAGCGGAGGGAUCAUUACCGAGUGCAAACUCAUAACCCUUUGUGAACCUAUAUCUGUUGCUCCGGCGGCUCGCUCUCGGGCGAGCCCGCCGGUAAUAUCAGUAUCUCUGUUUGAACCCGACGAUACUUCUGAGUGUUCUUAGCGAACAGUUAAAACUUUUAACAACGGAUCUCUUGGCUCUA
rnacentral:misc_RNA from 1 species